AUUGAACGCUGGCGGCAUGCUUUACACAUGCAAGUCGAACGGUAACAGGCCGCAAGGUGCUGACGAGUGGCGAACGGGUGAGUAAUGCAUCGGAACGUGCCCAGUCGUGGGGGAUAACUACUCGAAAGAGUAGCUAAUACCGCAUACGAUCUAUGGAUGAAAGCGGGGGACCGUAAGGCCUCGCGCGACUGGAGCGGCCGAUGUCAGAUUAGGUAGUUGGUGGGGUAAAGGCUCACCAAGCCAACGAUCUGUAGCUGGUCUGAGAGGACGACCAGCCACACUGGGACUGAGACACGGCCCAGACUCCUACGGGAGGCAGCAGUGGGGAAUUUUGGACAAUGGGCGCAAGCCUGAUCCAGCAAUGCCGCGUGCAGGAAGAAGGCCUUCGGGUUGUAAACUGCUUUUGUACGGAACGAAACGGCUCUGGUUAAUACCCGGGGCUAAUGACGGUACCGUAAGAAUAAGCACCGGCUAACUACGUG
rnacentral:rRNA from 1 species